UAUCACCAGCAUUGACAACAUUAACUGCACCGAUAGAGUCAACAACAGUGACUGCUCCAACGAAGUCAGUUUCAUGCUGUAAUCGAACAUCUUCCAGCUCUCCAGUCAUUGCAGACACCACAGGACUGGGACUCUUAGCUACAGCAUGGACAGCAGUAAGGCCUUCAGCUCCAAGUUCCUCGACAACUGAAACAGAAUUUCGAGCAGCAGUACUCUCUGACAGCACUCAGAAAGCAACAGCUGAAACAACAGUCACUUACAGUACUGAUGGGACCACAGGAACAGAACCAAUAACAACCAAGACAGCACUGGCAGAAAGGACAGUAAAUCCCUCUACAGCAUCAGAAACAGCUUCUGACGUUACUGGCUCUAUUGGCACCACAGAAUUCAAUCAAACGGCAACUGCUGACAGAAACAUUGGACUAAUUGUCGGUACCAGUACAAGCAUCUUGUUUAUCAGCGCACUGUGUGCAUUAUUCUUACUUUGGAUAUUUGCUUACAAAAAGAAAAUUGGCUGCAUAAGAUCACAAGAAUAUGACACACCAGUGUUACCGUUCAAGGUACAAACAGUGACAAGUGCCAAUGAAGCUGUGCCUUUACAGCAGGAAACGGAAAGGUGAUCCUUAUCACUCAUUACACAGGGUAAAUGUUAUCCACCGCUAGCAUGAGGAAGUGUUGAAACAAGUACAACAUGGAGCAAAGAAUGAACAUGUCAAGAGAUGUUUGUUCACUAAACUGAGCCAUUCCUUUCUUUUAUUAUCUCUGUUGAUUACGUGCCUGUUUCUGAACCACUUAGAUCCACUCCAUCCCCUUCAAUGUGGACCAUAACAACAACGUCUUUUUCCCAGGGUAGGAGAGUCCAAAACUAGAGGUUAUAGGUGUAAGAGGAGAAAGAUAUAAAAGGGACCCAAGAGGCAAAGUUUUCACGCAGA